GGGUUUAGAGUUAAAGGGUGUGGUUUAGGAUUUAGGGUUUAGGGUUUAGUGUUUAGGGUUUAGGGUUUAGAUUUUAGGGUUUAGGGUUUAAGGUUUAGGGUUUAGGGUUUAGAGUUUAGGGUUUAGGGUUUAUGGUUUAGGGUUUAGGGUUUAGAGUUUAGGGUUUAGGGUUGAGAGUUUAGGGUUUAGGGUUUAGAGUUGAGAAAUGAAGUUUUGGGGAUAAGAUUUCAAAUUUUGAAAAAUAAAAAAAUUAAAAUUUUCAAAGGAUAAACUUAGAAAUGUGCUAUUUUGGUAAUUUUAGUUUUUGAGUGCUAUUUUUGUGAUAUAAACUUAGAAAUGUGCUAUUUUAGAGAUUUGCCCA
rnacentral:lncRNA from 1 species